rnacentral:pre_miRNA from 1 species
CAUUGUCUUCGCGAGGCUAAACGCGAUAUUGAAAGCGUUAGCAUCGCGUGAGGCUAAUG